AACUGGAGUAAGGGUUUAAGUAAAAAGAUUCAGUUGUAUGAGUAAUGGUAAAUUUGGAACAAUCAUCCUAAGACUCUAGGAACCAGAGGUUAAGACCGAGGGAUUUGAAGAUCACCUAAUGAUAUUGUAUGGACUCGAAUGGAGAAUAAUUUGAAGUGUUAUCGCAGAAGUGACGUGGUGGCAGUAAUUCUCAAACGGGAAAUAAUUCAAGGAGCUGAGUGGGUCAGUAAUGUUUGUUGAACGAGGGUGAACACAUCAGAGAAUGAAACGAAGGAUAUCCGACAUGAGUGGAUUAUUGGAGUUUUUGAAGUUUUGGAGAUUUAGUGCAGAGCAGUAAAGGUCGAGGACCCUUUCCCCAGGUGUGUCAAGACGAAGUAUCAGAUUAGAAGUGUUGCUUGAGAGUUAAGGUUUCUAAUCAUGUGUAGUGGGAUGCAAGCAUCUUGACAGAUUAUGUUUCUUCGUACCGAAUGACCAUCAGACAGAGUAGCGAGAUUAUCUAAAGAGGAAUGCGAGUAACAUUCUCUCUCUUGGUUUGAUAGAUAUGAAGAGUUGGUUUUCUUGGUGAACGGAAGAAUUCGAGGACGAAUUCAAAUUAAGGGGGGGAGAAUGUAACAUCCCUAUUUCUCAAAGCAUGAAUAUUUAGUGAUGCCUAAUGACUAAUAAGUGUCAACAUACUAUUAAGCAUCAUUAACAAUUGUUAAGAGAAUGUUUAUUUGGAAUGGUUAGGAUCCAAAGAGAGUGAUUAGAAACCAACAAAAUGGCAAUUUGGUGAAUAUGACUUAGUUAGAGGGCAAAUGAGACAUUAACCUCUAUUGCAUGGGCUAAGACCAAUUAGGUAAGAGCACUAUUUUUCUAAUUCAGAUUUUUAUGAAAGUGAAAGAGUUAGAAGCACAAAGAGAAAGAACAAUCAAGCCCAACAAGAGCAUUUUCGCAACCUUGAUACAGCUCCACUAAAUCAGCUUCUGUUUUGAAGGAGAAAAACGAGUUUGAAGUUGGAAGCUCCAUGCUGUAUGUGUGUCAAAGUGUGAUUACGGGUUUGAUGAGGAUGGAGUGGAACUUUGGCUAUGGUGGGAGUUCAAUGGCAGCAAAGAACAUGAUCUCAACCUCCAUUUUAGCAAGGUGUGGUUUAGUAGCGUUUGGUCAGUAACAGGUAUGGACUGAAGACUUGGAAGGGGUGUU